CUACGGGGUGCUGCAGUGAGGAAUAUUGCACAAUGGAGGAAACUCUGAUGCAGCAACGCCGCGUGGAGGAUGACGCAUUUCGGUGUGUAAACUCCUUUUAUAUGUCAAGAAAAUGACGGUAGCAUAUGAAUAAGCACCGGCUAACUCCGUGCCAGCAGCCGCGGUAAUACGGAGGGUGCAAGCGUUACUCGGAAUCACUGGGCGUAAAGGACGCGUAGGCGGGUUGGAAAGUCAGGUGUGAAAUCCUACAGCUUAACUGUAGAACUGCACUUGAAACUUCUAAUCUAGAGUAUGGGAGGGGGGGAUGGAAUUAGUGGUGUAGGGGUAAAAUCCGUAGAUAUCACUAGGAAUACCUAAAGCGAAGGCGAUCUCCUGGAACAUUGCUGACGCUAAGGCGUGAAAGCGUGGGGAGCAAACAGGAUUAGAUACCCCGGUAGUC
rnacentral:rRNA from 1 species